UCGAGAAUUUUUCUCAAUGGGCGCAAGCCUGAAGGAGCGACGCCGCGUGGGGGAUGAAGGGUUUCGAUCCGUAAACCCCUGUCAUUUGUGAACUAGUAAUGAAAGAGGAAGGGACGGCUAACUCUGUGCCAGCAGCCGCGGUAAUACAGAGGUCCCGAGCGUUGUUCGGAUUCACUGGGCGUAAAGGGUGCGUAGGUGGCAUGGUAAGUUUGAUGUGAAAGCUCAGGGCUUAACCCUGAAAUGGCAUUGAAUACUACUGUGCUGGAGGUUUGGAGGGGGACUGGAAUUCUUGGUGUAGCAGUGAAAUGCGUAGAUAUCAAGAGGAACACCAGUGGCGAAGGCGAGUCCCUGGACAACACCUGACACUGAGGCACGAAAGCUGGGGAGCAAACAGGAUUAGAUACCCGUGUAGU
rnacentral:rRNA from 1 species